UUUAAGGUUGGUAAACACGUGUACACGGACGCAUAUAAUACUACCCGCCUGACAUUGACAUGUGUUAUUCAGGUGUCAAAGUUGUGCAGAAUUGAAGGAAGAAACCUCAAAGACAGUGCCAGAUGGAUGCUGGACAGGGUUUUAAAAAAAUUCCCUCAUGUCCAAAUUCAACAUGAAGUGGGGUGGUCCGCUGCAGAAAGAGGCAUUUGAAAAGACUGUACUGUUCUCGGUCAUUAGAGAUGCUGUGAUAACCAACUUCCCGGCAGCAAGAG